GUCCCUAGCUCUGUGGUGGAACAUCUGCCCUGUAUGCACAAGGUCCCAGGUUCAAUCCCUGAUGGGAGAGACU